rnacentral:lncRNA from 1 species
AAUGGACCAAAUGAUUUCUUUAAGCCCUGAACUGCCACGACCCUAAGCCAGAAUUAGGUAAGAAUGUGCCAUUACUUGCUGACAUCCUUGCAAGAAUCUUCUGCAUUAUGCAUGGGAAUUUUCCAAUUCUUCACUCUUCAUUGACUAGAAUUUUUUUUUUUUUUGGUUGAAAUAUGUUACUUCAUUUACCUCAGUCCUCGGUAUUUUGCAGAAGGGGUAAAUGCUGCCAUGUAAACACAUGAUACUGGCAGAAGGCUGGUGCUGCUUCAAGCCAGUGUUUUACUGUGGUUGGAGUAAAUGUCAUGGAGGUUUCUUCCUCUUUUCUUUAACAGAUCUCUUGUGCUUUUCCCCUUCCUUCUACAGUUGGUACCCCUUAUCCCCUCUUUGUCAUUUAUCAACUUGAGGGCUUCAGGGAAAAACUUCAGACAUCCACGAGGAAGUGAAUCCUCAAAGAGGACUGCCCUGGAGCAUUAAUAAUGAUGCCCCUCCUGGGCCAUAACAGGCUGAGCUUCAGCAAAUCCCUUUCCUGAAUGUUUAAUAUACCGGAGGCUUAUUUAGAUUCUACAUGGGGAGCCUCAUUUAAAUUAUUUAAGCAUUUUAAGGGCAUUAGUAAUUCCCCAACAGCAGCGCAGAGGGUGAUAUGGCUGAACACAUGUCAUAUAAUCAGAUUUUUAAAAUUUCAACUCAUCAAUUGAUGAUGAUAAUAUACU